CCGAUCGACGGCGACGAGCUCAUCUCGUACAUCAUCACCGGCCUUGACUACGACUACAAUCCGGUCAUCACCUCCCUCGUCGCGCGGGCUGAUCCGCUCACCAUUGGGGAGGUGUACUCCCAACUGCUCAGUUAUGAGC
rfam:Zea mays cultivar B73 chromosome 7, whole genome shotgun sequence.